rnacentral:lncRNA from 1 species
AUCUCGAGCGGCGUGGGAGGGCCGGGGAAGGCCGAGCGGAGGGGUGGAGAGGAGCAGUUGGUGGGCAUUAAGUGAGACUGCCAAGUUGCUUCAUUAUGUCUGCGGAUUACCAUAUAUUAUCCCAAAAAGAUCCCAGAAGCACCCACAGUAGUACCAGCAGUGCCUCCUUGGCAAUGGGACAUAAGUCUGUGACACGCUGGGUCUUCAUGCUUAAUCACGUAAGGUGGACUGGGAUGAAGAAUUCCGGAAGUUCACAGGGAACCAAGCGUAGGUAGCACUGUUGCUUCUGAACCAACUGGAGAGCCUAAGACAAUGACAACUGGAGAGCCUAAGACAAUGACAAGACGGGCUCAAGUCCAAACCAGAGCUGCCGGGGUAACUACAAACGCUUCACUAGCUUGUUAGAAUUUCCCACACACAGGGGCUCAAAACACAACAUUGUGGGUUGCAGAAUUGUAACUAAAGUAGCAUUUGUGUGCUCAGACGCCUCAUAUGCAAAGAUGAUUAGUUACAAGAAAGACUUUGCACCUUGGUAUGGAGACCACGUACUAGGACUUAUGGAAAGCUGAGCUCUUGGGACUGCCUAUCUGCCUGUGUCUGAAGAGACUGAUAUGAAGACCCUACAGUAAGCUCAAGGCCCACCCCAGCUGCUUCUCAUUACCUCUAGGACUCUAUCUAGAUGCAGGUUUGGAUUUGUUCUGAGGAACCAGGUACAAAGCCUGGCACAAAAGGAAAUAGCUUAUACUCCAAAGUAAUUGCAAAAUGUUGCUCAAUUUUAGUGACAGAAACUCAAGUAACACUGAUUUAUUAGACUAGAGAAAAUAGAUACAAGGCAGUGAACUAGAUAAAAUGUGCUGAUAUGGAAGGAUCUGGAAGGCAAAAGUUGUCUAUGUUCUUUGCUGAUUGAAGAGAACCAGCUGGAACCUACAUUCAGUCAGUCAGGCUAACUGCCAGAAUCGGGUUAAUGAAGAGGGUAAGAUCCAAAGACUUAGGGAAUUGGAAUGUGGUCUGAGUGUUCAACUCCAAGGGUGUAGCCUUCAAGAGAGUUCAGACACAACUCCCCGUGCUGAGGCACUGAGAAAUGUGUCAAUGAGAGGGUGACAGUGUUCUGUGACGUCUGUCUUCAGUAGGUCGAGUGGUAGUAACCGGUACUGCUACAGAACUGAGCUCCCGAGGUUCAGUGGGAGCUCAGCUUCAGUCUCCCAUAGAGACAAUGGUCGGUAGGCAGUGGUUGGCUAUAAGAAACAAAGUUGCUGCAUUGUUUUGACCACUGGUAGCUGAUAGAUCAAGGUGUCUGGAGGAACUAAAUAGGCCACAGCCUAUUAAAUCAUUAUUUUGUCUUUUAUAGGGACUAGGAAACUGGUUUUAGCACCAAUGUAGAGAAAUAGUCUUAAUUUCCAUAUUUAAGUUGAACAAGAUAGACUCUUAGAUGAGCAAAGGACAGUGUUGUUCAUCUCUGUCAUACACAGUAACAAGAAAUUAAAGAUUUAUAAACUUUGUUUGUGUCUGAUCCUUGCCAUCCCCAAACAUUGCACCAUGGUAGUUGAGAAAACAGUGGAAGCAAGAAGUCCAGUCUCUGAUCUUUCCACACAAUCUGGGAUUACCCAGAAUAUU